rnacentral:siRNA from 1 species
AUCUAGUGCUUUGGCUCUGAGUCC